rnacentral:rRNA from 1 species
GAUGAACGCUGGCGGCGUGCCUAAUACAUGCCAGUCGAGCGAACAGACGAGGAGCUUGCUCCUCUGACGUUAGCGGCGGACGGGUGAGUAACACGUGGAUAACCUACCUAUAAGACUGGGAUAACUUCGGGAAACCGGAGCUAAUACCGGAUAAUAUAUUGAACCGCAUGGUUCAAUAGUGAAAGACGGUUUUGCUGUCACUUAUAGAUGGAUCCGCGCCGCAUUAGCUAGUUGGUAAGGUAACGGCUUACCAAGGCAACGAUGCGUAGCCGACCUGAGAGGAUGAUCAGCCACACUGGAACUGAGACACGGUCCAGACUCCUACGGGAGGCAGCAGUAGGGAAUCUUCCGCAAUGGGCGAAAGCCUGACGGAGCAACGCCGCGUGAGUGAUGAAGGUCUUCGGAUCGUAAAACUCUGUUAUUAGGGAAGAACAAAUGUGUAAGUAACUAUGCACGUCUUGACGGUACCUAAUCAGAAAGCCACGGCUAACUACGUG